rnacentral:rRNA from 1 species
CUUAGCCAGCAUAUCUCAAGCAAGGAUUACUUUAGUUUGACACCCCGAAACUGAGGUGAGCUACUUCAAGACAGCCUUUCUAUAGGGCAAACCCGUCUCUGUGGCAAAAGAGUGGGAAGAUCUUCAAGUAGAGGUGACAGACCUAUCGAACCCAGUAAUAGCUGGUUGCCUGUGAAAUGAAUUUGAGUUCGGCCUCUCAGUUUCUCUACAUCAACUUAAAGACCAUUACAAACAGCCAGAUCACAAGAACCUGAAAGAGUUAAUCAAAGGAGGAACAGCUCCUUUGAAUUAAAACACAAUUUUACUAGGAGGAUAAAGACCAUAGCCCUAUAAGGUAAAAUAUUUUAGUUGGCUUGAAAGCAGCCAUCUCUACAGAAAGCGUUGCAGCUCUAAUAUUUUCUCACCCCAAAUCCCGGUAAUACCUAUCUUAAUCCCCCAACCAUUACCAGGCCCAUCCAUGCAAACAUGGAAGAGACCCUGCUAAUAUGAGUAAUUAGAGCGUACAACAGACCCUCUCCUCGCACACAUGUAAAUCGGAACGGACUCCCCACCGAACUUUAACGGCCCCAAACAAAGAGGGAAAUGGAAUACAAACAAACAACAGGAAAACCCCCAACAAACCACCGUUAACCCCACACAGGCGUGCUCCUAAGGAAAGACCUAUAGAAAAAGAAGGAACUCGGCAAACACACCCCCAUAUAAAGCCUCGCCUGUUUACCAAAAACAUCGCCUUUUGUAUUACCAAAAAUAAGAGGUCCUGCCUGCCCAGUGAAUCCUUUAUCAACGGCCGCGGUAUUUUGACCGUGCAAAGGUAGCGUAAUCAUUUGUCUUUUAAAUGAAGACCUGUAUGAACGGCUCAACGAGGGCUUGACUGUCUCCUUUUUCUGGUCAAUGAAAUUGAUCUCCCCGUGCAAAAGCGGGGAUACAUCCAUAAGACGAGAAGACCCUAUGGAGCUUUAGAUGUGACGCAAGCCCUAUCUGCUGCUUCCAAAUAAAAGAAUCAACACACUAGCUUCUGCCUCAACAUCUUCGGUUGGGGUGACCAUGGGGAACAAAAAACCCCCACGUCCCUGUACUGGAGUCUUUUUCUUAAAAAAUCUUUUUCACCAAACUCAUUAAAACGAGAGUCGCAACUCUAAUUAACAGAACCUCUGACUAAUGAUCCGGCAAUGCCGAUUAACGAACCAAGUUACCCUAGGGAUAACAGCGCAAUCCCCUUCCAGAGUCCAUAUCGACAAGGGGGCUUACGACCUCGAUGUUGGAUCAGGACAUCCUAAUGGUGCAACCGCUAUUAAGGGUUCGUUUGUUCAACGAUUAAAGCCC